AUGAAGUUUCCUUCGGGAAACGGAUUAGCGGCGGACGGGUGAGUAACACGUGGGUAACCUGCCUCAUAGAGGGGAAUAGCCUCCCGAAAGGGAGAUUAAUACCGCAUAACAUUGCAGUUUCGCAUGAAACAGCAAUUAAAGGAGCAAUCCGCUAUGAGAUGGACCCGCGGCGCAUUAGCUAGUUGGUAAGGUAAUGGCUUACCAAGGCGACGAUGCGUAGCCGACCUGAGAGGGUGAUCGGCCACAUUGGGACUGAGACACGGCCCAGACUCC
rnacentral:rRNA from 1 species